AACUGAUCAUCCUAGUGUCUUACUAAAAGUGAAGAGUCCAAGCUAAGCAAGGAUGACUUUAGCAUGUGCUCUGCAACCAAAAUGUAGAAGAGGUCCAUGACUCCUAUGUGCGGCUGCGAGCUGCUGUAAUUAGAUCCCACAACCAAUGUCUCCCCAUCCCUUAUUUUACUGAAAUUCAUGAUUUCCAUUAUAAUCCAUCAUCACCUCGGAUUCUGAAGAACGAGAAACAAACCAGCUCAACAAGUUGUGUUACUUUCAUGAAGGAAAUUCAGAAAUUGGGUGAGAUUGCAAAAGAACCUAUGUCACAAGAUGAUAAUCGAGCAAACUCUAUUAACCCCUGGAUUCAGCAGACAGAAUUCAACUAAAUCAUAUCAUUUAUGACAUAUCAAACAAAGUAUGUUGAUGCAUUCCCUUAGUCACCAAAUUUCUUGUCAAACAGUGAACGAAAAAAGCAUGGAUUGAAGACUGAUUACUAUUUGGUGAUAUUGAACUUUUCUCUCAAGGAACAAGCUGUUCCUCUGUAAAAGAGAUCAAUAGAAACCUGCAAAAUGAAUACAAGAGUCAGGACAAAAUUGCAGCCAUGAAAGUUCCAACCAAGAUAAAUGAAAAAGUAGUUAAGAACUUGGACUUGGUGAGGAUAAGAUUAAUUGUAAUAUCAUAAAGAGUUAAAGAAUUUGUUGCUUGUGUUUCAUAUUACUGCUAAAGAGGAGAAUACUUUCAGUAAUGAUGCAACAGCUAAAGAUAUUAAACAGACAUAAUGAGGAAAUUCAGAUUUUACUUCAGCAAGCAACCUGCAGUGCAUGGAGUAACUGUGAUACUUACAUCUGGCAACCAAGAUGUCCGACAUCAAUCCCCUAAGGUAGAUAUAUUCAAGAAGGAAAUCUCAAUCUGCUUUUUCAUCAGCUAGAUAUAUUCAAGCCAAGUUUAAUUUGAACUUAUUCAUUACCGUCGAGAAAUUUGGUUAACGUGUACUAGAUCUCAAUGGGUAGUUGGUAAUC